ACAGAGGCCUCGAGCGUUAGGCGGAAUCACUGGGCUUAAAGCGUGUGUAGGCGGACCUCUAAGUACCUUGUGAAAUCCCACGGCUCACCCGUGGAACCGCUGGGUAUACUGGGGGUCUUGGGCCAUUCAGGGGCGACUGGAACAAGCGGUGGAGCGGUGAAAUGCGUAGAUAUCGCUUGGAACGCCGAAGGUGAAAACAGGCUGCUGGGGUUGUGCCGACGCUGAGACACGAAAGCCAGGGGAGCAAACGGGA
rnacentral:rRNA from 1 species